UACGUAGGGUGCAAGCGUUGUCCGGAAUUAUUGGGCGUAAAGAGCUCGUAGGCGGUCUGUCGCGUCGGCUGUGAAAACCUGGGGCUCAACUCCGGGCCUGCAGCCGAUACGGGCAGACUAGAGUUCGGUAGGGGAGUCUGGAAUUCCUGGUGUAGCGGUGAAAUGCGCAGAUAUCAGGAGGAACACCGGUGGCGAAGGCGGGACUCUGGGCCGAUACUGACGCUGAGGCGCGACAGCGUGGGGAGCAAACAGG
rnacentral:rRNA from 1 species